rnacentral:rRNA from 1 species
GAUGGACGCUGGCGGCGUGCCUAACACAUGCAAGUCGAACGUGAACUCUGUACUUGUAUAUGGUGAAAGUGGCGAACGGGUGAGUAACACGUUGGUGACCUGCCCCGAGGAGAGGGAUAACUCCUUGAAAGAGGAGCUAAUACCUCAGAUGUCUGGACAGUUAGCGGGUCCAGACUAAAGCUAUGGCGUCUCGGGAGGGGCCUGC